UACGGGGGGGGCAAGCGUUGUUCGGAAUUACUGGGCGUAAAGGGCGCGUAGGCGGCCUUCUAAGUCGGACGUGAAAUCCCUCGGCUUAACCGAGGAACUGCGUCCGAUACUGAAAGGCUUGAAUCCGGGAGAGGCGCGUGGAAUUGCAGGUGUAGCGGUGAAAUGUGUAGAGAUCGGGAGGAACACCGGUGGCGAAGGCGGGUCUCUGGGCAAUUCCUGACGCUGAGGCGCGAAAGCGUGGGGAGCAAACGGG
rnacentral:rRNA from 1 species